rnacentral:tRNA from 1 species
GCUCGGUUCAAAUCCGAUAAGGGGC